rnacentral:sRNA from 12 species
AGGGUAGACGAGCUGGCCCCUAUUGAAGUCCAGUUCUAACGUUUAAUAAGGUAUAUCAUG